rnacentral:lncRNA from 1 species
UUCUUAUCUAGUGAUCAGAAUUCCAAGCUAUGUAUCCCUAGAGGGAGAGACAACGGGCAAGCCAUAUCCCCUUUUAUAAUCUGGCCUUGGUUUUCUCUUCUGCUGCUGCCUGCUUGUUAGAAGCAAGUUCCUGGAACUUUCCCUUAUUUGCAGGUGGGAGACUCAGAUUCUGCCUUUUGCUGGGAGCACGUCAAAGAUUGCUGCACAUUUUACACCCCAUAGAAGCCUGUGACAGUCUGGGGACCUUUUAAUUAAUUAUGUCCUGUGUCAAUGGAAAUUCUUUUGAUGCCUGCCAUGGCUGGCGAUGCAUGUGGAUGUGUAGAGGGAUGGUGUGACAUGCACACAAGUGGCUACAUUUUCUAGGACUAACCAGUAUGCCUAUCUGGUCAUCAGGGAAACCUCCAUAUUUUUUUUUCUGUGACUCAGGAUGACAUACAUCAGCAGAAUUCUCAGACUCAAGUUCCUUGCAGUGGAUCAUUUGCUCCUGCAUCCAUAAGAGGACGGUAGUAUCAGGAGCCCUUGCCUGGAGAGAGGGUCCCGAGAAAGAAGUUCUCAAAGAACCAGGAUGUCUUCAGCUGAUGUACUUUUGGCCUUGACUGUCACAGUAUCACAGGACCAUUGAGGCCUCAACUUGUGACUGGAG